GUGAGGAACCUGCCUUGGAGAGGGGAAUAACACAGAGAAAUUUGUGCUAAUACCGCAUGAUGCAGUUGGGUCGCAUGGCUCUGACUGCCAAAGAUUUUAUCGCUCUGAGAUGGCCUCGCGUCUGAUUAGCUAGUUGGUGGGGCAACGGCCCACCAAGGCGACGAUCAGUAGCCGGACUGAGAGGGUGACCGGCCACAUUGGGACUGAGACACGGCCCAAACUCCUACGGGAGGCAGCAUG
rnacentral:rRNA from 1 species